UAUUAAAAAAAAGGCUAAAAUAAUAACAAUGGCAUGCUCAAUUAUAUAAGAAAAAAAAAAGGAACAUAAAUAGAUUAACAAGCAGAAUUUGGCAAGGACAAGCAGAAUUUGGCAAGGACAAUUAAGUUUAAUCCAGCAUCUCCAUUAUGCACAUGGAAUGAACUUACCAAGGGAUAAGUUAACAAAUAUGAGAAAUCAAACACGUAUAUAUUAAUCAAUCUCAUUUAUCAGACUUUUAUUCUUAAAAGCAUGCAACAAAUUUCAUUUUGUUAUAACAGUUAUCAGCUCUUCACCAAACCUUAAAUAUGCAAACAUGGAUAAAAAUUAUCAAUUUAAAGUUUACAAAUCCAAAAGAGUCACACUUGUCACUUUUCAUGAAGGUGGAUCUCUG
rnacentral:misc_RNA from 1 species